rnacentral:rRNA from 1 species
UACGAGGGGGGCGAGCGUUGUUCGGAAUUAUUGGGCGUAAAGAGCGUGUAGGCGGCCAAACAGGUCAGCUGUGAAAACUCGAGGCUCAACCUCGAGACGUCGGUUGAAACCGUUUGGCUAGAGUCCGGAAGAGGAGAGUGGAAUUCCCGGUGUAGCGGUGAAAUGCGCAGAUAUCGGGAAGAACACCCGUGGCGAAGGCGGCACUCUGGGACGGUACUGACGCUGAGACGCGAAAGCGUGGGGAGCGAACAGG